rnacentral:tRNA from 1 species
GGAUGUGGUGGAACUGGCAGACACGCUGGAUUUAGGUUCCAGUGCCGAAAGGCGUGGGGGUUCGACUCCCUCCAUCCCUACCA